rnacentral:lncRNA from 1 species
AAGAGAAGAGUAGAAAACUGAAGUUUCAGUUAAUCUUUCGACUUUGGAAGUUGCCAUUUGGAAAGUACAUACUGUUCGGACUUACAACUGGUACUUCCCUGCUAUGUUGAAUUUCCGUUUGACAAAAUUGUCUUUAGCACCCUGAAAAUUACAGUAUUUUCUAUGUAAGUGGUGUUCCUUUUGCAAACUCGAUAUACCUGACUUUGAAAUCUAUAGCAUAUAUACUCUUUUGUUAAAGAGAGAUCAUUAACAAUGAGCUCUAUGUAGAUGUAUCCUAUUGUUGGGGAACGAUACAAAUGCAAAGAUUGUAAGGAAAAAAUAGGCUUCGACCUUUGUGAAGGGUGCUAUAAAAGCUCCUCGAAGCUCCCUGGCAGAUUUAAUCAGCAACACACACCAGAACACCAAUUUGAUCUAAUACAGCCACUUCAAGUGAGAAAUGUGGUCCUGAGGCUUCAACCUGAACAACUUGAAGAGGAUGGCUCCAUUGGCCUGCUUGAAUAUAUCGACGAGGACAGUUCUGUUGAGGUUGAGCCACAGCACCCGGAAGAAGAUUCCUCAGAGACCAACUCUCCGCGAGACGAAGCAGGGAACAUAUCCUCAAAUGACACUAGAGAAGAUCAAGGAGGGAGAGAAUCUGCAAACAGAGAUUAGAUGUUACUUUAUGAAUUGCUACUACUCUUGUGAUCAUUAUCUCAAUAAUACUUGGUGAAGGAAUUCAGGUCCUAUCAAGACAUGGGAAUCACUUUCCGGCUCUACCUCUUUUGCUGCCUGGUAGACUUGAAGAGGACGGCUCCAUUAGCCUGCUUGAAUAUAUCGACGAGGACAGUUCUGUUGAGAUUGAGCCACAGCACCCGGAAGAAGAUUCCUCAGAGACCAACUCUCCACGAGACGACUUAAGAGAUGGUCAAGCAGGGAACAUAUCCUCAAAUGACACUAGAGAAGAUCAAGGAGGGAGAGAAUCUGCAAACAGAGAUUAGAUGUUACUUUAUGAAUUGCUACUUUGUGAUCAUUAUCUCAAUAAUACUUGGUGAAGGAAUUCAGGUCCUAACAAGACAUAUGGGAAUCACUUUCCGGCUCUACCACUUUUGCCGCCUGGUAUGGCUCUUCUCGUAUCAUACUGUACAGCUUUUUAUUUUUAAAGUUACUGUUUGGCUGAACCUUUGUACAUAUAUUAGAGUUAUGUUUCAUACAGUCUAUUGAAAGAGAAGAUAAUAUUGCGACUCGUUCUGAUAUAUGAAUACUGCUGUUUGAGUUUCUUAUGUAAUAGACAUGGGAUUUUAGUGCAUUCUUGGUUGCUCACUAAAAAGUUCUCUAAAUUUGCAGACGUUGAAUUGUUCCUUUGUGAAUAUGGCUUGUCACUUUAUGUCCUCUCUUUUUUUCUUCCUUUUCUUUCUUGAGCCAGACUACAGCUAGAGCCAAUCGAGUCGAUCAGAAUGUUUUUAUUUCAUAUUCUCAAGUUGAAGUAUGUGACUAUCUGUCUUCUAAAUAGCACCCGGGAAAAGCACGUAAUAAGUGUAGAUCUUUUACCAGAAUGAUAUCUUCAUAAGCGUCCAAAGCUGCCUUCUCAUUGGUUGUGAAAAAUCAAGAAAAUAACAAAUAAAAGGAUAUUUGGGCAAAGUAAUCCUAUUUGUUGGUCUUUCUAUAUUCAUUUCCCUCUGCCCAAAAUGAAGCAGAGGCAGUGGUAGCCAUGUUGGGUAUUUCAAGAAUGGUAGACUGAAAGACUAAUGUUGUGUUUUGGUCUUUUAAUAGUAAGGUCGAAGACUU